rnacentral:tRNA from 1 species
UGUAGCUCAGUGGUAGAGUGCUUGCCUUGCAUGCAUGAGGCACUGGGUUCGAUGCUUAGCA